rnacentral:lncRNA from 1 species
UGCAAGAUGAAGAGGAGCUUUAUUGAGCAAUAGAACAGCUCAGAGGAAACUGGCAGGGGGCAGCUCCUUUCUGCAGCCAGGGUGUUCCCACAAGUGUUCAGCUCCUAGCGGAGAGGGUAGCUCCUCUCUGCAGCUGGUCAUCCAGUCAUCUGUGCAGCUCUCAGCAGAGAGGAGACCAUAGAGUGGGUGGCUCAUCUCUGCAGGCAGGUCAUCCCAUCGUCUCUGUAGCUCUCAACAGAGAGGAGGCCCUGAAGUGGGUAGCUACUCUGCAGCUGGUCAUCCUGACAUCCGCUCAGCUCUGGCUGAUCUUGGGGCUUUUAUGGGCCUCAGAGGGGAAGAAUUGCACGCUGAUUGGUCCAUGGGUGGCCAUAGGUGGGCCCGGAAAAGGCACCACAAGUUCCUGCUCUGCAGAACUGGCAGCCCAGCCCCCAGUUUUCAGACUCUCCUAGCCUGAAGAAACUGGGUUUCCCCAUGUUGCCCAGGCUGGUCUCAAACUCCUGGCCUCAGGUGAUCCGCCUACCUCGGCCUCCCAAAGUGCUGGAAUUACAGGCAUGAGCCACCGCACCCGGCCUGGAUUCUGCAUUUCUAACAGGCUUCUGGUCCAGGAACCACAGGACCUCGAAGAUGAGAGGAGGCCGUCACCACAAUGGAUUCCGGCCCUGGGGUCUGAUGGAGACAUUGGUCCGCCCUUCGUGGCUUUUCACCCAGAAGGAAGAUCCUCCCCUGCAGAACCUCUCCCCAGAACUAGGUCUUUGCAGGUGACGAGGUAAUCCCAGCCUCCCCUCCCCGCAGAUCAGCGUUUUUCGAAGUGACUUUCUCACCAGGCGGAGCAUUGAAAGUACCGAUCCCAGCGCACCCAGCCCUGCUGAAUCAGAAUCUCUGGGGGUGAGGCCCAGGAAUCGCCGUCUGAACAAGUCGCGGGCUGGAAACGGCUGCCCCAGAUUACAGGGCAGCUCCCUGCUUCGCUCUCGCUCCUCCGGCCCCGGGAACGUGCAGGGGGGCGGGAGGCAAGUCCCAUCAGCACUUUGAACUGGGGCUGCUUUUUAGUGACUCACCUCCCAGACUUCCUGCAACAGACAACUCUAAAUAGCUCGGUCCCACCCUCCAGCAGGGGAGACAUUCCGGUCGGGAAGGGCAGGAGGUUAGAAGGUGGGUGCCCCGCCAGGGCAGUCCAGGGAGACCCAAGGACAGGAGACGCUGGCUGCACAGCACAGGGGCGCACGAAUAGGACGUUUUGUUUACAGGCUUUUGUUAUUAAGGAAAUUGGUGUCAGUCAAGGUAAUUCUAGCUCAGAUGAGCAAUAAAUAUGCUCCCAGCUAAUCUUGUGGGGAUUUUAUUGGCACUCGGAGCAGAGGUUCCUUUACCUUGACUACUCCCUCCCCUCAAAGCAAAGUCCUGCUCCCCAGCGGCUUCCCCCUAAGCAUCGUGAGGCACUUGGGUCAGGCUUUUAAAAGUCCACUCUACGUGAACACAGAAGAGGUCCGGGCAAAGGUGAGGAGUGGCUUCCUGAUCCUACCUGGAGGCCGAGGAUGACCAAAUGACCUGAAAUAAAACCCUGGGUGACCUGGUUGGAUCAAGGCAUACGCAAGCUCCCCCGGGCCUGCUCCACACUCGGGGUGAUCACCUGGCCCGCGGGCGGCCCGGGCAAGGAGGAACGUCUCGAGAAGGCAGCCGGCUCGCCGGAGUCGGUUCCAGCGUGUUCGAGUUACAGCUGCGAGCCCUCAGGGACACCGGCGGCAAGUCCCGGCUUGCAGAGAGGGGAGCCAGUCCCGGGAGAGCGCGAGUCCCGGCGAGCCCGAGUGCGCGCCUUAUGCGCGCUCCCCGCGACGGCGCAGGGGGAGGGGAGGCCGCAGCAGCCACUCAGAGGAACGGUAGUGAAGCCUCCCAACAACUUUAACUGUCAAUCAGACUUAAUGGGGUAUUGAAAAAAUGGGGGAAAAAGGGGCCGCCCUCUCCGCGACGCGGCUGCCCGGGGAGCGAAUGAAUAGGGCCGCGCAGACCAAGGCGUCCGAUCCACGCGCGCUCCACACCCGGACCCUCUCCAAGUUGGAAAGGACAAAAAGAAGGCAAUAAAUGCUAAAAAGGGAGAGAAGGGGAGCUGGAUCGAGCGGCAACUCCCAGCCUCUGCUGGAACAGAGAGGGAGGGAGGGAGCCGGAGCGAGCGAGCGCGCGCGAGGGCGAGCGCUGCACGUAAAGAAACUGACACCCGGACCCCCCACUUCUCCUGCACGUUGCUGGCAAUCAGAUCGCGUUUAAGCAAUUUCCUGAGCCCAAGAAUAGCAAUGAGUCGGGAGACUUUCGCGGGCUGAAAUUGGGAGCUCCAAGCACUUUUUCCCCCCACUUU